GGAAGUAAAAGCGUAACAAGGUUUCCGUAGGUGAACCUGCGGAAGGAUCAUUAACGAAUAUCGUGCGGGGUUGAAGCUGGCCUCUCGGGGCAUGUGCUCGCCUUGUUCAUAUCCAUCUCACACCUGUGCACACUCGCGUGGGUCGGUCGGGCUCUUUUUUGCGCCCUUCCGAGCCGCGUCUUCUCACAAACUCUUCGUAUGUCUUCAGAAUGGUAUCAAUGCUAUAAAACGCAUCUUAUACAACUUUCAACAAUGGAUCUCUCGGCUCUC
rnacentral:misc_RNA from 1 species